AAUAUUGGACAAUGGGGGAAACCCUGAUCCAGCCAUGCCGCGCGUGUGAAGAAGGUCUUCGGAUUGUAAAGCACUUUAAGUUGGGAGGAAGGGUGUCAAGCUCAUACCUUGCUGUUUUGACGUUACCGCAAGAAUAAGCACCGGCUAACCUCGUGCUAGCAGCCGCGGUAACACGAAGGGUGCAAGCGUUAAUCGGAAUUACUGGGCGUAAAGCGCGCGUAGGUGGUUUGUUAAGUUGGAAGUGAAAGCCCCGGGCUCAACCUGGGAACUGCUUUCAAAACUGGCAAGCGAGAGUAUGGCAGAGGGUGGUGGAAUUUCCUGUGUAGCGGUGAAAUGCGUAGAUAUAGGAAGGAACACCAGUGGCGAAGGCGACCACCUGGGCUAAUACUGACACUGAGGUGCGAAAGCGUGGGGAGCAAAC
rnacentral:rRNA from 1 species